UGCCGGUCGUUAAGCCGGAGGAAGGUGGGGAGUGACGUCAAGUCAGCAUGGCCUUUAUGUCCUGGGCUACACACACGCUACAAUGGCCAACACAAUAGGUUGCUAAGCCGCGAGGUGGAGCCAAUCCUCAAAGUUGGUCUCAGUUCAGAUUGCAGGCUGCAACCCGCCUGCAUGAAGAUGGAGUUGCUAGUAACCGCAGGUCAGCUAUACUGCGGUGAAUACGUUCCCGGGGCUU
rnacentral:rRNA from 1 species